rnacentral:rRNA from 1 species
GAUGAACGCUGGCGGCGUGCCUAAUACAUGCAAGUCGAGCGAACAGACGAGGAGCUUGCUCCUCUGACGUUAGCGGCGGACGGGUGAGUAACACGUGGAUAACCUACCUAUAAGACUGGGAUAACUUCGGGAAACCGGAGCUAAUACCGGAUAAUAUAUUGAACCGCAUGGUUCAAUAGUGAAAGACGGCUUUGCUGUCACUUAUAGAUGGAUCCGCGCCGCAUUAGCUAGUUGGUAAGGUAACGGCUUACCAAGGCAACGAUGCGUAGCCGACCUGAGAGGGUGAUCGGCCACCCUGGGACUGAGACACGGUCCAGACUCCUACGGGGGGCAGCAGUAGGGAAUCUUCCGCAAUGGGCGAAAGCCUGACGGAGCAACGCCGCGUGAGUGAUGAAGGUCUUCGGAUCGUAAAACUCUGUUAUUAGGGAAGAACAAAUGUGUAAGUAACUAUGCACGUCUUGACGGUACCUAAUCAGAAAGCCACGGCUAACUACGUGC